UACGGGGGGGGCAAGCGUUGUUCGGAAUUACUGGGCGUAAAGGGCUCGUAGGCGGCCAACUAAGUCAGACGUGAAAUCCCUCGGCUUAACCGGGGAACUGCGUCUGAUACUGGAUGGCUCGAGUUUGGGAGAGGGAUGCGGAAUUCCAGGUGUAGCGGUGAAAUGCGUAGAUAUCGGGAGGAACACCUGUGGCGAAGGCGGCCACCUGGAAGAUUACUGACGCUGAGACGCGAAAGCUAGGGGAGCAAACAGG
rnacentral:rRNA from 1 species